rnacentral:rRNA from 1 species
CCCGCACAAGCAGCGGAGCGUGUGGUUUAAUUCGAUGUUACACGAAGAACCUUACCUGGGUUUGACAUGCUAGUGGUAAUGAAGCGAAAGCUAAGUGACCCGCAAGGGAGCUAGCACAGGUGCUGCAUGGCUGUCGUCAGCUCGUGUCGUGAGAUGUUCGGUUAAGUCCGCUAACGAGCGCAACCCUCGCUGUGUGUUACAAGUGUCACACAGGACCGCCGGUCUUAAGCCGGAGGAAGGUGGGGAUGACGUCAAGUCAGCAUGGCCUUUAUGUCCAGGGCUACACACACGCUACAAUGGUCAACACAAUAGGUUGCUAAGCCGCGAGGUGGAGCCAAUCCAUAAAGUUGGUCUCAGUUCAGAUUGUAGGCUGCAACCCGCCUGCAUGAAGAUGGAGUUGCUAGUAACCGCAGGUCAGCUAUACUGCGGUGAAUACGUUCCCGGGGCUU